rnacentral:rRNA from 1 species
ACUCCUACGGGAGGCAGCAGUAGGGAAUCUUCCACAAUGGGCGCAAGCCUGAUGGAGCAACACCGCGUGAGUGAAGAAGGGUUUCGGCUCGUAAAGCUCUGUUGUUAAAGAAGAACGCGUAUGAGAGUAACUGUUCAUACGUUGACGGUAUUUAACCAGAAAGUCACGGCUAACUACGUGCCAGCAGCCGCGGUAAUACGUAGGUGGCAAGCGUUAUCCGGAUUUAUUGGGCGUAAAGAGAGUGCAGGCGGUUUUCUAAGUCUGAUGUGAAAGCCUUCGGCUUAACCGGAGAAGUGCAUCGGAAACUGGAUAACUUGAGUGCAGAAGAGGGUAGUGGAACUCCAUGUGUAGCGGUGGAAUGCGUAGAUAUAUGGAAGAACACCAGUGGCGAAGGCGGCUACCUGGUCUGCAACUGACGCUGAGACUCGAAAGCAUGGGUAGCGAACAGGAUUAGAUACCCUGGUAGGAUAGCG